rnacentral:pre_miRNA from 1 species
UCACCUCCGCAGGCUGCCUGCCCCCAGGUUGGGCUGGGCAAGUUUCCCUUUAAAAGGCUCACCCUCAAGCAGGACUAGGAGC